rnacentral:rRNA from 1 species
UGAGGCGUUCGGACUGGCCCAGGGAGGUCGGCAACGACCACCCAGGGCCGGAAAGUUCGUCAAACUUGGUCAUUUAGAGGAAGUAAAAGUCGUAACAAGGUCUCCGUAGGUGAACCUGCGGAGGGAUCAUUACCGAGCGAGAGCCCUCGCGGCUCGACCUCCAACCCUUUGUCGUCCGACUCUGUUGCCUCGGGGGCGACCCGGCCUUCGGGCGUCGGGGCCCCCGGUGGACCCCUCAACUCUGCAUGCCCUGCGUCUGAGUGAUAGAUACAAAUCAAUCAAAACUUUCAACAACGGAUCUCUUGGUUCUGGCAUCGAUGAAGAACGCAGCGAAAUGCGAUAAGUAAUGUGAAUUGCAGAAUUCAGUGAAUCAUCGAAUCUUUGAACGCACAUUGCGCCCCCCGGCACUCCGGGGGGCAUGCCUGUUCGAGCGUCAUUACACCACUCAAGCCUCGCUUGGUAUUGGGCGCCGCGGUCCUCCCCGCGCGCCCCAAUGUCUCCGGCUGAGCCGUCCGUCCCAUCAGCGUUGUGGUUCAAUCAACUCGCUCUCGGGCCCGGACCGGCUCGACGCCGUCAAACCCUUCUUUCAAAGGUUGACCUCGGAUCAGGUAGGGAUACCCGCUGAACUUAAGCAUAUCAAUAAGCGGAGGAAAAGAAACCAACAGGGAUUGCCCUAGUAACGGCGAGUGAAGCGGCAACAGCUCAAAUUUGAAAUCUGGCGC